CUCAAUACAACACAUAGAUCACUAGGGGGUGCUAGAGUGCUAAGGACUCAAUACAACACAUAGAUCACUAGGGGGUGCUAGAGUGCUAAGGACUCAAUACAACACAUAGAUCACUAGGGGGUGCUAGAGUGCUAAGGACUCAAUACAACACAUAGAUCACUAGGGGGUGCUAGAGUGCUAAGGACUCAAUACAACACAUAGAUCACUAGGGGGUGCUAGAGUGCUAAGGACUCAAUACAACACAUAGAUCACUAGGUGGUGCUAGAGGGUUAAGGACUCAAUACUACUUACGCCAGUCCAAUGAGCUCACAGUUUGGGUAUAAAGGGGGGGGGGACAAACGGAACGUUCAUAACAUUGGCCUUGCAGGAGUGAUUUGUGGGUAAAAGGGCAGAUUGCUUCUAGUCUUGAGAAGCUAUUGAAGGUCCAUUCAUAAGGUUGCUGAGUGGAGUGGCACUGGACCUACUACUCUCUACACGGGUCACAUACAGCACAGGAACUGAAUACCUGACAUUUCUACAGCGCAGCACACGCCCCACUGUCAAUCAAACCUCCCCCUCCCACACUGUAUCCAGGCACUAAAGUGGGACCAGCCAAAAGAGCACAGAUAAAAUUACUCUUCCAGAGUUAUAUUUAAAGGGUAAACUUUUGUUAUUUUUACCGAUUGUUGUACUCUUUUUUUUAUUUUUAUAAAUCGACUUGUCUUAUUGAUUAGCUUUGCUACUUUCCUUUAUGUUGUGCUGUUGAGGAAGAGCGCCAAUUAAUCACUGUACCAUUUCCACCCACUAUAUUGUUCACGUGACAAAUAAACUGAUUUGAUUUGAGGGGUAGAGGGGGAGAAGGUGAGAGGGACAGAGGAAAGAAAGUAGAGAAAGAGAAGGACGUAGAUAAAGUGAGUGUGGGGAUGGAGAGAGCAAAGUAUAUGUGGAAACGAAGAGGUGUACAACAGUAGAGAAGGUAUAGAAACGAAGAGGUGUUCAGUAGGGAAGGUAUAGAAACGAAGAGGUGUACAGUGGGGAAGGUAUAGAAACGAAGAGGUGUUCAGUAGAGAAGGUAUAGAAACGAAGAGGUGUACAAUAGAGAAGGUAUAGAAACGAAGAGGUGUACAGUGGAGAAGGUAUAGAAACGAAGAGGUGUUCAGUAGGGAAGGUAUAGAAACGAAGAGGUGUACAGUAGGGAAGGUAUAGAAACGAAGAGGUGUACAACAGUAGAGAAGGUAUAGAAACGAAGAGGUGUACAGUAGAGAAGGUAUAGAAACGAAGAGGUGUUCAGUAGAGAAGGUAUAGAAACGAAGAGGUGUUCAGUAGAGAAGGUAUAGAAACGAAGAGGUGUACAGUAGGGAAGGUAUAGAAACGAAGAGGUGUACAGUAGAGAAGGUAUAGAAACGAAGAGGUGUUCAGUAGGGAAGGUAUAGAAACUAAGAGGUGUACAGUAGAGAAGGUAUAGAAACGAAGAGGUGUUCAGUAGAGAAGGUAUAGAAACGAAGAGGUGUACAGUAGAGAAGGUAUAGAAACGAAGAGGUGUACAGUAGGGAAGGUAUAGAAACGAAGAGGUGUACAGUAGAGAAGGUAUAGAAACGAAGAGGUGUUCAGUAGAGAAGGUAUAGAAACGAAGAGGUGUACAGUAGAGAAGGUAUAGAAACGAAGAGGUGUACAGUAGGGAAGGUAUAGAAACGAAGAGGUGUUCAGUAGGGAAGGUAUAGAAACGAAGAGGUGUUCAGUAGAGAAGGUAUAGAAACGAAGAGGUGUUCAGUAGAGAAGGUAUAGAAACGAAGAGGUGUACAAUAGAGAAGGUAUAGAAACGAAGAGGUGUACAGUAGGGAAGGUAUAGAAACGAAGAGGUGUUCAGUAGAGAAGGUAUAGAAACGAAGAGGUGUACAGUAGAGAAGGUAUAGAAACGAAGAGGUGUACAGUAGGGAAGGUAUAGAAACGAAGAGGUGUUCAGUAGAGAAGGUAUAGAAACGAAGAGGUGUACAAUAGAGAAGGUAUAGAAACGAAGAGGUGUACAGUAGGGAAGGUAUAGAAACGAAGAGGUGUUCAGUAGAGAAGGUAUAGAAACGAAGAGGUGUUCAGUAGAGAAGGUAUAGAAACGAAGAGGUGUACAGUAGGGAAGGUAUAGAAACGAAGAGGUGUUCAGUAGAGAAGGUAUAGAAACGAAGAGGUGUUCAGUAGGGAAGGUAUAGAAACGAAGAGGUGUUCAGUAGAGAAGGUAUAGAAACGAAGAGGUGUACAGUAGGGAAGGUAUAGAAACGAAGAGGUGUACAGUAGGGAAGGUAUAGAAACGAAGAGGUGUACAGUAGAGAAGGUAUAGAAACGAAGAGGUGUUCAGUAGGGAAGGUAUAGAAACGAAGAGGUGUACAGUGGGGAAGGUAUAGAAACGAAGAGGUGUACAGUAGGGAAGGUAUAGAAACGAAGAGGUGUUCAGUAGGGAAGGUAUAGAAACGAAGAGGUGUACAGUAGAGAAAGUAUAGAAACGAAGAGGUGUACAGUAGGGAAGGUAUAGAAACGAAGAGGUGUACAGUAGAGAAAGUAUAGAAACGAAGAGGUGUUCAGUAGGGAAGGUAUAGAAACGAAGAGGUGUACAGUAGAGAAGGUAUAGAAACGAAGAGGUGUACAGUAGAGAAGGUAUAGAAACGAAGAGGUGUACAGUAGAGAAAGUAUAGAAAUGAAGAGGUGUUCAGUAGGGAAGGUAUAGAAACGAAGAGGUGUACAGUAGGGAAGGUAUAGAAACGAAGAGGUGUUCAGUAGAGAAGGUAUAGAAACGAAGAGGUGUACAGUAGAGAAAGUAUAGAAACGAAGAGGUGUACAGUAGAGAAAGUAUAGAAACGAAGAGGUGUUCAGUAGGGAAGGUAUAGAAACGAAGAGGUGUACAGUGGGGAAGGUAUAGAAACGAAGAGGUGUUCAGUAGAGAAGGUAUAGAAACGAAGAGGUGUACAAUAGAGAAGGUAUAGAAACGAAGAGGUGUACAGUGGAGAAGGUAUAGAAACGAAGAGGUGUUCAGUAGGGAAGGUAUAGAAACGAAGAGGUGUACAGUAGGGAAGGUAUAGAAAUGAAGAGGUGUACAACAGUAGAGAAGGUAUAGAAACGAAGAGGUGUUCAGUAGAGAAGGUAUAGAAACGAAGAGGUGUACAGUAGGGAAGGUAUAGAAACGAAGAGGUGUUCAGUAGAGAAGGUAUAGAAACGAAGAGGUGUUCAGUAGAGAAGGUAUAGAAACGAAGAGGUGUACAGUAGGGAAGGUAUAGAAACGAAGAGGUGU